rnacentral:tRNA from 4 species
GGCCAGGUAGCUCAGUCGGUAGAGCAGAGGACUGAAAAUCCUCGUGUCGGCAGUUCGAUUCUGUCCCUGGCCACCA